ACUGGGGCUCGAGCCCACAACCAGGGCCUGUGUCCGGACCCCAGAAUCCAACCAUGACCUCCUGGUUCAUAGGUCCACACUCAAGUGCUGAGCCGCUCCGACUGGAAUAUGUUUGCCCUGUUUAAAUGGAUUUAUUGGUCCCGAAUCUGCUGUAGCCUCUGGAAGCCGGGAAAAUCUAAUUCUAGUUAGGCUUUUGGCCCUAGUACCAUUCGAAGCAUUAAAAUUUUACUCAUGCUGGGUCAUAUAUGAAGUCAUCGUGCCUCGAGGAAUGUAGGGUCACAUUGUAUUCCAUAGUUUUAUUUUCUCAGCACUUUUGGGAAGAUUGUUGUAAAGACUAUAAUUUCCUCAUAUUUUGUAACCUUGUAGCAAUGAUAAUAGUGAUGCAACUUUCAUGUUUUUAUUAGAUUUAACUCUUGUUCAUUUACAUGUCCACAUAUACAAAUAUAAAUAUAUAAAUAUAAAAAGAGCACACAGAUAUGUACAAUAUGACCUCCUUAUUUUGGGGGGGGGGGAGAGUAUCUAUGCGAUUAAAUAAAAAAUAGAAAAGAGGCAAAUUUGGGGGGGGAGUUAAUAAAAAAUACCUAUCUGGAUGUUUGAGCAAAUAUAUUUGGUUCAUCCACAUAAUUAUUUCAGUUUUUAUAUAUAGAAACAACUAGUGUCCUAACAUUUUUUCUGAAUUAAUUUCAUCCAAGGUGUGUCCACACAAUUCCAGUAUGAUGAGUAGAAAGUAAAAUACUGUUUCUGUUUUAUCUACACAAUGCCAAACACUCAGGCCUGCCAUUGGACGGAAGCCACAGCACUGACUAGUUGCUCUGGCAUCGUGGGAUUGUCUAGGCGAGGCCCGCGCGGACAUAGUGGCUCUCAUUGUAAAAAGUGCCGAAUCAAUGAUUCUCUCUCAUCAUUGAUGUUUCUCUCUCUCUCUCUCCCCCCUCCUCCUCCUCCUCCUCUCCUUUGCUCUCUGAAAUUAAUAAAGAUAUAAAAAAGAAGAGCAAAAAGAAGAAUAAAAAAGUAUGAAGACAGUGUAAGUAAGGCAAGCAUGUAAAAAAAAAUGCCCCCACGCUGAGCGAGCGCCAGGAUCAGAGCAGGCCCACCGCUGGGUUACUCCUCACCCGGAGGGCGGCUCUGCGGGUCAGGGCCGAGUCUCCAGCAAACACACUGUGGAAAACGCAGUGCGGUGCGGCUCUUGCCCUUGCGAAUAAGCAGCCUGCUGUUUGUUCAGUGAGACAGGCUCAUCCUGUUUUCCAGCUGCCCCUUGGAUAGUAUUGAUCUGUUUGGGAGAAUGUCUGCUGUGAAUUGGCACAGGUCAGUCAUCAGGACUCUUGUUGGCGCGGGGGUAUUUCGGGGCCAAUCUGAGGAACUGAGACGCAGGUCAGCGUUGGCCCCAUGUGGGCCUCCGUGGGCAUCAGCAAGAGACCCACCCCGUUUCCGUGGCUGAGGCGGCAUGGCACCUGCUCAGCGACGUCACAGAAAACAGCUGCAGUCUCUGGGGCUGUUUCAUCUCCUGUCGAUGCUCAAUAUUGGGUUGGUCGAUGUCUAAAUGUCAAGGGCACAUUUUAACAUAAAAAUGCCUUCUUUCAUUUCUGUUGUAUGCCUCCGAGCUUGACUUCUUCUUUUCCUUUCUGCUCUGCCAAAAAAGUAAAUGUAAAUGAUGGGAACACAAUAAGACCACUUUGUAACUGAUUUUCUGGGCAGCACACAAAAAGCUGCUGUUCUAGGGUUGGUGCUUGUGUGUGUGUGUCAGCUUCAAAAGCGAUCUUCCUUCUGAAGUUUAUAAAUUUAAAAUAUUAGAGUUUAGCCAACGAUGGGAUCUAGCUCCCAAGAAAGACGUGUGAGAUCGUACAAAGUGGUUGCUUGAGACCAGAACUGACCCGGUUAAAUUUCAGUCCUGAAAAAGUUACACACGGAAAAUUGGAAAGCCAUGAACUGAGUAGCUUAUAUUUUUUUGCCUUAAAAAUUGAAUGUCAAACUUUUUUGAAGUCAGGUGUUUUGCAAGGUGAAUAUUAAACUUUCAAAUGCAAAUACUCAAUCUUGAUUAAACAGCAGGAUUUAAGCACUUGAGAAGUAGGCUGGCAUUUUUAAAAAUCAGAUUUUGUCCUUCUAGGUACAAAAACAGCGACUGAAUGCGUCACGGCCAUUGGCAUUGUGCAACUGCACAGGCGAGACUGAGGAUGUGAGGAGGGGUGGCGGGAGCGUCUGUCCUGGCUGAAUUGUUGCAGAACAAAAACGUUAAGAAAUACUCUGUGAUGGGGAUAGAGAAGCAAACAAGACAAAUCCUGCUGCAGCUUUCUUGGACGUUUUGGGAUCACAGAGAAGGCAGAUAUCAAACAGGUGCUUACACUGCAUUGUGGUGGAGAUGACCAGGGAAGAUCUUCCCACCGCCGUGACAUUUAGCUGAGACCUUGCGUUCGAGGAGGGGUUAGCCCGGAGAAGGUGGUGACUGGGAAAGGUGCAAGAGGAUUUCAGAAGUCUGGGAGACAAGAGAGGAACCACUCGAGGAACCGAAAGAAGUCUGGAAAUUCAGGAGUUGGAAGAACUAUGCCCCAGGAAACAAUCAGAGAAAUCCAGGCGGGAGCACCGGCUACAGAACCAUGGCCUGCCCUCAGCAGCUGUCUGUGGAUGAACACUCCCCUUUCUUCCCCUGAUGGGUGCUCGUGAAACAAAUACCAAAUCAUCCUGUGCGACGGAACACUCAGUCACAGCAGCGGUGCCCGCUCUAUCAUGCAGCUUCGUCUGGGGGCUCCUUUCCUUCUGCUCUGGCCUCGCUCCCUCUACAGGCCCCCGAGGCACACUCUCCAGCAGAGCACGGACUUCAGCCUUCCUGCUCCCGGGGUUGGCGUUCUGGGGGACCUCCACUGAGGUCCAGAGGAAGUGAAGACUGCUCACGCUUCCAGGAACCCGCAAGGCCCUAUCCGUGGUUCUCCACCUUCUGGCCCUUUAAUACGGUUCCUCAUGUUGUGACCCAACCAUAAAAUUAUUUUCGUUGCUACUUCAUAACUGUCAUGUUGCUACUGUUAUGAACCGUAAUGUAAAUAUCUGAUAUGCAGGAUGGUCUUAGGUGACCCCUGUGAAAGGGUCGUUCGACCGACAGAGGGGUCGCGACCCACAGGUUGAGAACCCCUGCCCUAGGUUCUCUAGUCUCUUCUAGACAACAAAGACUUUCUUUUUAGGACAAAGAUGACACAGCUGUGCUGUGCUUCCUAUGAUUAUAGGGUGGGAAUGAAAACCAGGUAAAUUUGAUGUAGGGAGAGGAGAAAAGGACGGUAAGGCUGUGAAUAAUUAGCAAUGUCUGUUCUGGGUAGCAGACGGAGCUGUCAUCCACCCCCGCUUUUCACCCUGCAUGGAGAGAUGAAGGCGAUGAGGGUGAUGGGAGGUAAUUGCAUUCACUAAUCGGGGGAAGGGCCUUGUGUGCAGGUGACGUGGACAGAAUCGUGUGCAUGGGCCUGGGGCGUGCUGGAGGCGUUUCCCUCAAGUCCGCCUGGACCUUCUCGCCUGUGAUUCCCAUCCCUUUCUCUGCGGCCUCACGGGUCUCCAAACGCAUUCCUGCCUCACAUGCUGCCUUUUUGCUCUUUCAACCUGAAAAGCUUGUACUUUAUAUAACUUACGAAGUGAUCACCCCGAUAUAUCUAGCACCCAUCUGAUUACGAUAUUAUCGACUAUGUUCCCAUGCUUUUCUUUGUAAGUUACAGAAAUGUCUAAUUACGGGGUUGUACACUUGAAACUAAUAUAAUAUUAUAUGUCAACUGUAAUUUUAAAGAUAAAAUGUAUUAAACAGAGAAAAAAAACC